AACGAACGCUGGCGGCAUGCCUAACACAUGCAAGUCGAACGAGACCUUCGGGUCUAGUGGCGCACGGGUGCGUAACGCGUGGGAACCUGCCCUUAGGUUCGGAAUAACUCCCCGAAAGGGGUGCUAAUACCGGAUAAUGUCUUCGGACCAAAGAUUUAUCGCCUUUGGAUGGGCCCGCGUUGGAUUAGCUAGUUGGUAGGGUAAAAGCCUACCAAGGCGACGAUCCAUAGCUGGUCUGAGAGGAUGAUCAGCCACACUGGGACUGAGACACGGCCCAGACUCCUACGGGAGGCAGCAGUGGGGAAUAUUGGAAAAUGGGCGAAAGCAUGAUCCAGCAAUGCCGCGUGAGUGAUGAAGGCCUUAGGGUUGUAAAGCUCUUUUACCCGGGAUGAUAAUGACAGUACCGGGAGAAUAAGCCCCGGCUAACUCCGUG
rnacentral:rRNA from 1 species